rnacentral:rRNA from 1 species
GACGGAGGGUGCAAGCGUUGUUCGGAUUGACUGGGCGUAAAGGGCGUGUAGGUGGUCGGUCAAGUCUGGUGUGAAAUCCCGGGGCUUAGCUCCGGAAGGGCACUGGAAACUAGCCGGCUAGAGCGCGAGAGAGGAGGGUGGAAUUCCUGGUGUAGCGGUGAAAUGCGUAGAUAUCAGGAGGAACACCGGCGGCGAAGGCGGCCCUCUGGCUCGUUGCUGACACUGAGACGCGAAAGCGUGGGGAGCAAACAGG